CCUGAGUUGGUUUUUUCCUUUUUUUUUUCCUUUUUAGGAGACACCAGUAACGGAACUUGGUAUCUCCCAUUUGGGAGGUGGGAGCUCAACCUUUUGAGCCACGUCUGCUUCCUUCUUCUUUUCUAGUGCACUUCCAACCCAGGAAGAUAGAUUUGAGUGAGAGCCCUCCUGUCUUCCAAGGCCAGCCUUUGACGAAUAAACUCUCUUCUGAAGAUCCUGAUGUCACCUAAUUGACUCUCUGGUUUGCCUCAGGUAAGGACUCACUUUUUUUUUUCCUCCCUCCCUUCUCCCCCCCUCAGUUGUCUGCU
rnacentral:lncRNA from 1 species